rnacentral:ncRNA from 1 species
GCAGAGCCCGUGGGGGCUCCCGGACGAGGGGUGCCGUACCCGGUGUGCGACAAGACGGCACCGA